rnacentral:rRNA from 1 species
UACGUAGGGAGCAAGCGUUGUCCGGAAUCAUUGGGCGUAAAGCGCGCGUAGGUGGCCAUGUAAGUCCGCUGUGAAAGUCAAAGGCUCAACCUUUGAAAGCCGGUGGAUACUGCAUGGCUAGAGUACGGAAGAGGCGAGUGGAAUUCCUGGUGUAGCGGUGGAAUGCGCAGAUAUCAGGAGGAACACCGGUGGCGAAGGCGGGUCUCUGGGCCGAUACUGACGCUGAGGAGCGAAAGCGUGGGGAGCGAACAGG